rnacentral:rRNA from 1 species
CCCUUAGAUGUUCUGGGCCGUACACGCGCUACACUGAAGGAGGCAGCGUGUACUCCUGGAUCGAAAGAUUUGGGUAACCCGCGAAUCUCCUUCGUGCUAGGGAUUGAGGUUUGCAAUUAUCCUUCAUGAACGAGGAAUUCCCAGUAAGUGCAAGUCAUAAGCUUGCGCUGACUACGUCCCUGCCCUUUGUACACACCGCCCGUCGCUACUACCGAUUGAAUGAUUUAGUGAGGACUUCGGACUGGGACCGAUGCGGCUUUCGGGCUGCGUCGGUAUUCUGGAAAGAUGUCCAAACUGUAUCAUUUAGAGGAAGUAAAAGUCGUANCA